UAAGUGGAUUAGUGAGUUGUUUGUUUGUUUUUCCCCAGGGCACCUCAGCUUUUGAAUGUGUGGCCACCCCCACUCUCAUGUCCCUGGGCAGCUCAACACUAAAUAUCCAACCACCCCUUCUGGUGUGAUGAGGCUGCCUGGCCAUCCUAGGUGGAAUCAACCACACUCAGCUCUGUGGAAGAAGGAAUGCCCAAUACUGUUCCCCAGAGCCGCCUGCAGCAACUGACACCUGCCCCACCUCAGCUGCCGCUCCACCUGCUCAGGCCUGCCUCCAGAGUUGUCAGAAAUUCGCCUUUCUGUGGACCUUUUAUAUAAAUGGACUCAUACGGACGGGCGCAGUGGCUCACGCCUGUAAUCCCAGCACUUUGAGAGGCUGAGCCGGGUGAAUCACGAAGUCAGGAGUUCGAGACCAGCCUGGCCAACAUGGUGAAACCCCAUCUCUACUAAAAAUACAAAAAUUAGCCAGGCAUGGUGGUGGGUUCCUGUAAUCCCAGCUACUCGGGAAGCCGAGGCACGAGAAUUGCUUGAACCCGGGAGGUGGAAGUUGCAGUGAGCUGAGAUCAUGCAUGCCACUGCACUCCACCCUGAGUGACAGAGUGAGAUUCCGUCUCAAAAAAUAAAUAAAUAAAAAUUGAAAAAGAAAAUGGACUCAUA